rnacentral:rRNA from 1 species
UGGGGAAUUUUGGACAAUGGGCGCAAGCCUGAUCCAGCCAUUCCGCGUGAGUGAAGAAGGCCUUCGGGUUGUAAACCGCUUUCAGCAGGGAAGAAGCGAAAGUGACGGUACCUGCAAAAGAAGCCCCGGCUAACUUCGUGCCAGCAGCCGCGGUAAUACGAAGGGGGCUAGCGUUGCUCGGAAUUACUGGGCGUAAAGGGAGCGUAGGCGGAUAGUUUAGUCAGAGGUGAAAGCCCAGGGCUCAACCUUGGAAAUGCCUUUGAUACUGGCUAUCUUGAGUAUGGGAGAGGUAAGCGGAAUUCCGAGUGUAGAGGUGAAAUUCGUAGAUAUUCGGAAGAACACCAGUGGCGAAGGCGGCUUACUGGCCCAUUACUGACGCUGAGGCUCGAAAGCGUGGGGAGCAAACAGG